UACGUAGGGUCCGAGCGUUGUCCGGAUUUACUGGGCGUAAAGAGCGCGCAGGCGGUCGUUCAAGUCGAGUGUGAAAGCCCCCGGCUCAACUGGGGAGGGUCACUCGAUACUGAUCGACUUGAAGGCAGGAGAGGGAAGCGGAAUUCCCGGUGUAGUGGUGAAAUGCGUAGAUAUCGGGAGGAACACCAGUGGCGAAGGCGGCUUCCUGGCCUGCUCUUGACGCUGAGGCGCGAAAGCUAGGGUAGCAAACGGG
rnacentral:rRNA from 1 species